rnacentral:rRNA from 1 species
CCCUGCCAUUUGUACACACCGCCCGUCGCUACUACCGAUUGAAUGGCUUAGUGAGCCCCAGGGAUUGUUGCUCUUUGUUGGGUUUCCUUCAUUGAGCAUCCGAGAACUGGGUCAAACUUGAUCAUUUAGAGGAAGUAAAAGUCGUAACAAGGUU